GUCGAGGGGCAGCAGGGGUAGCAAUACUCGCUGGCGACCGGCGCACGGGUGCGUAACACGUAUGUAACCUUUCCUUAACUGGGGAAUAGCUUUGAGAAAUCAGAAUUAAUACCCCAUAACACUGCGAAGUGGCAUCACUUUGCAAUUAAAGCUCCGGCGGUUAAGGGCGGGCAUGCGUCCCAUUAGCUAGUUGGCGAGGUAACGGCUCACCAAGGCUACGAUGGGUAGGGGUUCUAAGAGGAUUUACCCCCACACUGGCACUGAGAUACGGGCCAGACUCCUACGGGAGGCAGCAGUAAGGAAUAUUGGUCAAUGGGCGCAAGCCUGAACCAGCCAUGCCGCGUGCAGGAUGAAGGUCCUACGGAUUGUAAACUGCUUUUGUACGGGAAAAAACCCCUUGUUUCUACAAGGGUUGAUGGUACUGUAAGAAUAAGGAUCGGCUAACUCCGUGCCAGCAGCCGCGGUAAUACGGAGGAUCCAAGCGUUAUCCGGAUUCACUGGGUUUAAAGGGUGCGUAGGCGGAAUGACAAGUCAGUGGUGAAAACCUAUAGCUUAACUAUAGAACGGCCAUUGAUACUGUUAUUCUUGAGUGUAUUGGAUGUGAAUGGAAUGUGUCGUGUAGCGGUGAAAUGCUUAGAUAUGACACAGAACACCCAUUGCGAAGGCAGUUCACAACACUACAACUGACGCUGAGGCACGAAAGCGUGGGGAUCAAACAGGAUUAGAUACCCUGGUAGUCCACGCCGUA
rnacentral:rRNA from 1 species